rnacentral:rRNA from 1 species
GGACCAUUACAAGUUGACCCCGGCCCUCGGGCCGGGAUGUUCACAACCCUUUGUUGUCCGACUCUGUUGCCUCCGGGGCGACCCUGCCUCCGGGCGGGGGCCCCGGGUGGACAUUUCAAACUCUUGCGUAACUUUGCAGUCUGAGUAAAUUUAAUUAAUAAAUUAAAACUUUCAACAACGGAUCUCUUGGUUCUGGCAUCGAUGAAGAACGCAGCGAAAUGCGAUAAGUAAUGUGAAUUGCAGAAUUCAGUGAAUCAUCGAAUCUUUGAACGCACAUUGCGCCCCCUGGUAUUCCGGGGGGCAUGCCUGUUCGAGCGUCAUUUCACCACUCAAGCCUCGCUUGGUAUUGGGCGACGCGGUCCGCCGCGCGCCUCAAAUCGACCGGCUGGGUCUCUCGUCCCCUCAGCGUUGUGGAAACUAUUCGCUAAAGGGUGCCGCGGGAGGCCACGCCGUAAAACAACCCCAUUUCUAAGGUUGACCUCGGAUCAGGUAGGGAUACCCGCUGAACUUAAGCAUAUCAA